rnacentral:rRNA from 1 species
GAUGAACGCUGGCGGCGUGCCUAAUACAUGCAAGUCGAGCGAACGGACGAGAAGCUUGCUUCUCUGAUGUUAGCGGCGGACGGGUGAGUAACACGUGGAUAACCUACCUAUAAGACUGGGAUAACUUCGGGAAACCGGAGCUAAUACCGGAUGAUAUUUUGAACCGCAUGGUUCAAAAGUGAAAGACGGUCUUGCUGUCACUUAUAGAUGGAUCCGCGCUGCAUUAGCUAGUUGGUAAGGUAACGGCUUACCAAGGCAACGAUGCAUAGCCGACCUGAGAGGGUGAUCGGCCACACUGGAACUGAGACACGGUCCAGACUCCUACGGGAGGCAGCAGUAGGGAAUCUUCCGCAAUGGGCGAAAGCCUGACGGAGCAACGCCGCGUGAGUGAUGAAGGUCUUCGGAUCGUAAAACUCUGUUAUUAGGGAAGAACAUAUGUGUAAGUAACUGUGCACAUCUUGACGGUACCUAAUCAGAAAGCCACGGCUAACUACGUGCCAGCAGCCGCGGUAAUACGUAGGUGGCAAGCGUUAUCCGGAAUUAUUGGGCGUAAAGCGCGCGUAGGCGGUUUUUUAAGUCUGAUGUGAAAGCCCACGGCUCAACCGUGGAGGGUCAUUGGAAACUGGAAAACUUGAGUGCAGAAGAGGAAAGUGGAAUUCCAUGUGUAGCGGUGAAAUGCGUAGAGAUAUGGAGGAACACCAGUGGCGAAGGCGACUUUCUGGUCUGUAACUGACGCUGAUGUGCGAAAGCGUGGGGAUCAAACAGGAUUAGAUACCCUGGUAGUCCACGCCGUAAACGAUGAGUGCUAAGUGUUAGGGGGUUUCCGCCCCUUAGUGCUGCAGCUAACGCAUUAAGCACUCCGCCUGGGGAGUACGACCGCAAGGUUGAAACUCAAAGGAAUUGACGGGGACCCGCACAAGCGGUGGAGCAUGUGGUUUAAUUCGAAGCAACGCGAAGAACCUUACCAAAUCUUGACAUCCUUUGACAACUCUAGAGAUAGAGCCUUCCCCUUCGGGGGACAAAGUGACAGGUGGUGCAUGGUUGUCGUCAGCUCGUGUCGUGAGAUGUUGGGUUAAGUCCCGCAACGAGCGCAACCCUUAAGCUUAGUUGCCAUCAUUAAGUUGGGCACUCUAAGUUGACUGCCGGUGACAAACCGGAGGAAGGUGGGGAUGACGUCAAAUCAUCAUGCCCCUUAUGAUUUGGGCUACACACGUGCUACAAUGGACAAUACAAAGGGCAGCGAAACCGCGAGGUCAAGCAAAUCCCAUAAAGUUGUUCUCAGUUCGGAUUGUAGUCUGCAACUCGACUACAUGAAGCUGGAAUCGCUAGUAAUCGUAGAUCAGCAUGCUACGGUGAAUACGUUCCCGGGUCU